rnacentral:rRNA from 1 species
GCGUGAAGGAUGAAAUCCUCGGGAUGUAAACUUCGCAAGAACGGGAAGAAUAAGUAAGAGCUAACAUCUCUUACGAUGACGGUACUGUUUGUAAGCUCCGGCUAACUCCGUGCCAGCAGCCGCGGUAAUACGGGGGGAGCAAGCGUUGUUCGGAUUUACUGGGCGUAAAGGGCGCGUAGGCGGCCACCGCAAGUCAGUUGUGAAAUCUCUGGGCUUAACCCAGAAAGGUCAACUGAUACUGCGGGGCUAGAGUGCAGAAGGGGCAACUGGAAUUCUCGGUGUAGCGGUGAAAUGCGUAGAUAUCGAGAGGAACACCUGCGGCGAAGGCGGGUUGCUGGGCUGACACUGACGCUGAGGCGCGAAAGCUAGGGGAGCGAACGGGAUUAGAUACCCCGGUAGUCCUAGCCUUAAACGAUGAAUGCUUGGUGUCUGGGGUUUUAUAGUCCCCGGGUGCCGUCGCUAACGCUUUAAGCAUUCCGCCUGGGGAGUACGGUCGCAAGACUG